GUGGCCUCCCCCAGCGGCUGGCCGCGCGUUACCACGUGGCGCCUCCUCCUCAUUCGUUUUGGAGCCGCAUUUUAGCUCGAUUUCGGGCGUGAUUUUGAGCAAACGAACAGUAAAAAAAAUUACAGAGAAGCAGCAGCAUGCGGGAGGAAUUUUCAGAGAAUUUUGGAGCCAAAAAUUCAAAUUAAAUCCCGUUUAACCCCUGAUUUAAUAUUCCAGUUUGUAUAACUUUGACCGCGUUUGGUCAAAUUGAGCCUAAGGCUAUCUUCGAAAAGGUAAGGGUAAAGCUAAAGUUGAGGGCGAGGACCGCGCCACCUAGCAGUCAGCCGUGUCGGUAGGGUGUACAGUUUGCUGCCCCCGUCUUCUCUGAUGUUUUGUUAGGAAUUUUGACUCUCAUUUUGACUGUGCCCAGUUGUUCCUUGUAUCUUUUAUUUAUUAGCAUAGGUGUCUGUAUAUUUUUAUAUACUCCUUGACCGCUGUUCCAGCGGGGUACUCGUGGGCGUGCAUGUAUAUUGUUCUGCUUCCGCUGUUGUAUUUUUCGUAUGUAUGCAUGCCAGGGUAUUUUUGUCUUAUGUCUAUUUUUCUUCCCUCCAUGUAAGCG